UAUCUCAUCACCGCCUCCAUAUUCUUUCGCGUCUUUUGCUUCCUCCCUCUUUUUCGCCAAUGUUUUCUUUAGAUCUAGCUAAUAUGGCGACGAUUUUGUUCUUUCUCGCUUCUAAUCACCGUAGAGAUCCUCCCGAUCUGCAAAUCCGAUCCGAAUUCUCAACGAAUUUGUAGAUCUGAUCUGUGAUUCCAUCGUUGACGACGGAUCUUCGCUUACAUCGUUUGAUCUGUCGCAGAUCUGCCGUUUUCUAUAGAUCUAGAUCUGGAUCGUCCUUCGCGGCUUCUUCACAUGCAAGAUUCUGUGAAUUGUUCAAGUUGAGGCAUCAUUUCUGGAUUACUAGGAGACGAAUCUGUUGCAGACGGAUGUGUGUGUGUUGGAUUGAAUUGAGAUUAGGGUGUAGAAGAUGUUUUGUGGAUAGCUAAUAGCUUCCUGAUUGCAUCUCUGUCAUCCGACCUUUGCCAUGUCAGGUGCGCUUGCAUGGCAGGUCAAAAAACUGAUCCUCAAUAAAAAAAAGAUUUUGUGGGUUUUGGAGAGGAGGUCGCACGGGUUAUUAUUUUUUCCCGGGAUCUCUUCUCCUCUGUGUGUGUCGUCUUGCCUCUGCUCUAUCUCUCUCCCUGCUCUUUCACAUUUCAUAUCUUUCUUAAAUGCUCAUAUACACUCAAAAACCGAUCAUAAGCAGAGUUUGUAACCAAUAUGGAGCAGUGGGCGAUUACAAAUCUUCUUGCCCAACAACCUCGAGAGUUAAAUCAGGUACUCAUAUCCAUAUUAAAUCGAAUUCUUAAUUAGCAUAAUAAGGUAAACAUAAUCUGCAAGAGGAAUUCUGGAUUUAAAUAAACCAUAAUCCGGUUGCCCUAAUUGUUAACUUGUAUCAACGCUUAUGCGAAUCAUGAAAUUUUAAUUUUAUUGGUUUUGUUAUUUAUCUUAUUGAUCAAUUAUUGUUUUACAAGUUGUCAUUUAAUCUAUUGAAAAUGAUGGUAUUAAGAAUUGCUGUUAAACAAUUUUGCGGGUUCUUUGUAUGUAUCAUUGGUAUUGUUUUAUUAGUUCUAUCCGUUUAGAAGCUUUUUAGAAUAUGGUAAAGAACAUUUUUAUUUGCUCGUAGUUUGUAUAUGUCUGUAACCACCAGUUCCUGUAGUAACUAUGAAGCUGGUAGACGACGGAAUUGAAGCUAUGCAAAGCUGACGUUGGUUUUUUCUGAAGUUGAUUUGUUCUUGAAAGGUAUCUUGAUCAAAAGAUAGUAUCUGGUUAUGUGCUAAGUCAAAAAUUCCUGAUAUUUAUAGUUCAUUACAUUUUAUUUUCUUAGUUUAUUGUGGCCUGUUGUGGAAGAGAACAAUCAUUAUAACAUUUUAUAUAAUGAGAAAAGCUUAUUGCAAUUUUCCUA